rnacentral:rRNA from 1 species
CUACGGGGCGCUGCAGUGAGGAAUAUUGCACAAUGGGGGCAACCCUGAUGCAGCAACGCCGCGUGGAGGAUGACGCAUUUCGGUGUGUAAACUCCUUUUAUCAGAGAAGAACCAUGACGGUAUCUGAUGAAUAAGCUCCGGCUAACUCCGUGCCAGCAGCCGCGGUAAUACGGAGGGAGCAAGCGUUAUUCGGAAUCACUGGGCGUAAAGGACGCGUAGGCCGGUCUGUAAGUCAGGUGUGAAAUGCAAUGGCUCAACCAUUGAACUGCACUUGAAACUGCGGACCUAGAGUAUGGAAAGGGCAGAUGGAAUUAGUGGUGUAGGGGUAAAAUCCGUAGAUAUCACUAGGAAUACCGAAAGCGAAGGCGAUCUGCUGGGACAUAACUGACGCUGAGGCGUGAAAGCGUGGGGAGCAAACAGGAUUAGAUACCCUCGUAGUC